CUCAGAAAUACCCCUUUUUGUUUUAUUCGAUUGAGAUGGCAGGACGAAACCCAAUUUUCCAUAUUUGAUUAUAGUCCCGUCGAUCGCGGAUUACGGGGAUCUUGUGGAACGAAAUACCUGGGAACAGUGGGGGGCUUCUGUAUAUGUAUUUUGCGUUUGUGCGUUCGUAUGUCUGUUUCUUAUACGCCAGGGUCUGUCGCUUUGCCGUUGGAAAAUAGGGUACAUCAAGCAAUCGUUUAUUUACGGAACGGACAUUUUUUGGGGGUUAAGUUCAUUUGUAGGGUCAUUUAUUUACUGUUUUUGAAGGAACGGACAUUUUUGGGGGUUAAGUUCAUUUGUAGGGUCAUUUAUUAACUGUUUUUGGAGGAACGGACAUUUUUGGGGGUUAAGUUCAUUUGUAGGGUCAUUUUACUGUUUUUGGAGGAACGGACAUUUUUGGGGGUUAAGUUCAUUUGUAGGGUCAUUUAUUUACUGUUUUUGGAGGAACGGACAUUUUUGGGGGUUAAGUUCAUUUGUAGGAUCGUUUAUUUACUGUUUUUAGAGGAAUGGACAUUUUUGGGGUUAAGUUCAUUUUUAGGAGUCGUUUAUUUACUGUUUUUGGAGGAACGGACAUUUUUGGGGGUUAAGUUCAUUUGUAGGGUCGUUUAUUUACUGUUUUUGGAGGAACGGACAUUUUUGGGGGUUAAGUUCAUUUGUAGGGUCGUUUUACUGUUUUUGAAGGAACGGACAUUUUUGGGGGUUAAGUUCAUUUGUAGGGUCGUUUAUUUACUGUUUUUGAAGGAACGGACAUUUUUUGGGGGUUAAGUUCAUUUGUUGGGUCAUUUAUUUACUGUUUUUGAAGGAACGGACAUUUUUGGGGGUUAAGUUCAUUUGUAGGGUCGUUUUACUGUUUUUGAAGGAACGGACAUUUUUGGGGGUUAAGUUCAUUUGUAGGGUCGUUUUACUGUUUUUGAAGGAACGGACAUUUUUGGGGGUUAAGUUCAUUUGUAGGGUCGUUUUACUGUUUUUGGAGGAACGGACAUUUUUGGGGGUUAAGAUCAUUUGUAGGGUCAUUUAUUUACUGUUUUUGAAGGAACGGACAUUUUUGGGGGUUAAGUUCAUUUGUAGGAUCGUUUAUCUACUGUUUUUGGAGGAACGGACAUUUUUGGGGUCAAGUUCAUUUGUAGGGUCAUUUAUUUACUGUUUUUGAAGGAACGGACAUUUUUGGGGGUUAAGCUCAUUUGUAGGGUCGUUUUACUGUUUUUGGAGGAACGGACAUUUUUGGGUCAAGUUCAUUUGUAGGAGGUCAACUUUGUAUUGGAGGCGGGUGUGGGGUGUGGGGGAGGGGGGUUGAUAUUUUGGGAGGGGUAAAUUUGUGUUCUUUGGAGAGUUAAGAUUGAUAUUUUGAGUUUAUUUCCAGUACCUCCUUUUUUCUAUGUAAGGUUUGUUUCCUAUCCAGUGUCAGCCCGCCAGUCAGUCAGUCAGUCAGUCAGUCAGUCAGUCAGUCAAGCUUUUUAUUCCACUCAGUAAGUCACAAUUUUAAUAUCGCUAUUCAGUAAGUCAGUUGAGUUUUUUAAUCAAUCUCUUCAAUUCCAAAAGUUGAUAUAUUACCGAAACUAAAAUACUACUACUACUACUACUACUACUACUACUACUACUACUACUACUACUACCAGAGAGAGAGAGAGAGAGAGAGAGAUUGACAUAGGGUGCUUUAACAAAAUAAAUUAGUGUUUCUCUCUCUCUCUCUCUCUCUCUCUCUCUCCGUCACCCAUAUAUGAAACACAGAAAUCUGAAGAAACAAGAGAAAUAAAGAAAAAAAAUAUAGAUAAGAAAACAAAAAGAAAGAAAAAGAAAGAAAGAAAGAAAAAUCGUCCUCGGAACUUCAAUCAUAUAUUCAUUUUUAUAAUUUUUUUUCUUUUUCCGUUAAAUUUAAAAAAAAAAUAAACCUUAAAAAUAAAUAAGUGAAUGGAUGAAUAGAUAUUAAAGCAGGAUAAGGAUAUUGUGUGGGCGGGUCAAGGGAAGAGGAGGAGGAGGAGGAGGAGGAGGAAGAAGAAGAAGGAGAAGGAAAAGAAUGAGGAAGAAUGAAGGGAAGGAGAAAAGGAGGAAGAAGGGGAAGGAGGAGGAGGAGGAGGAGGAGGAGGAGGAGGAGGAGGAGAAAGAAGAAGGAAAAGAAUGAGGAAGAAUGAAGGGAAGGAGAAAAGGAGGAAGAAGGAGGAGGAGGAGGAAACAAAACUAACCUUAAUUUGACCUCUCUGACCCAGCCUCGACCCUUGCCUGCCCACUGACCCGCGCCGGCCUUGUCCAAAAGAUGUAUAUUUUGUGAUGCGUCAAGGCAGGCCUCAGCGUUUUAUAUGGUAACCUUCCGUCUCGACUCACCCACCCACUCACUUCAAUAAUUCAAGUCUCCAUUUCCUUAAUUAAACUGUAUUAUAACCUGUAACUCUCUUCUGAUGCUAUUAAACGUCAUUCGCUCUCUUCAGUAAUUACACAAACUCCUUUUUCUUUCUGUAUUAUAAUCAAACUCAUCUCUCCCUCCUUUGUUUAUAUCUUAUUCAUUACCUUAUUAUUCUGCAUUCACUUCUUUCACCUAUAACGAUACUUGGUUAUUCAUGCAUUAAUUUCCCAUUGAUGGUUUUACGCUCAUCUUCCUAUGUCACAAUCCUCGUCUCCCUUCCUCCUUAGACUGAAUCAUCCUUCCCCUGUUUGAUCGUAAGUAGCCCAAUGCCCUCUCCACAUACUCCCCUUAUCCACUUAUCCACUUUUCCCACAUUCUCCACUUCUCACUGCAUCAAAACCUGUAUUCUUCCAGUUUUUCCUACACGCCUUCUAGUGAGUGAGGGUGUGGGUGAGUUGGGGCGAGAGGGAGAAGAAAAACAAGCGCUUGGUGUUGCUAUAAAAUGGAGGAUGUUGCCCAGUUUUGUGUGUAAGGCUUAUCAAAACACUAGAUAUAUUUCCCUCACCCAACACCAUCGCAUAGACCGAGGAAAAGGGAAAACAAGACAAGGUACAGAAUCAUUGCGUUUAUUUCCGUUAAGCGAUUCUACCCUAAUGUGUGGAUGUGUAUGUGUGUGUGUGUGUAGACGCUCAUGGGCUGCGGUGAACCCUGGCUGUGCUGUAUCUAUUUCCUGUUGUUUGUGGUGGUGUGCCGCAGGGCUGAGGUGUUUGGGGCAGGGCCUGGGCAGGGGGGGGGGGCCACAUCACAGGAGCCUUGUUGUUGAGAAAAGAGCUGUGCGAGAUUCAGAUCGACGCUGAUGUGAUAGUUCCAUUUUGUGUGUGUGUGUGUGUGUGUGAGUGUGUGUGAGUGUGUGUGUGUGUGUGUGUGUGUGUGUGUGUGUGUGUGUGUGUAGGUAAGCCCGGUGGUAUCUCAUAUAAGUAACCAGACCCCAAACAGUGAUGUCCACAAAUACUCUAAAAUACAUGUUAAGUACUAAAGACUGACACUCAGAAAUAUUAAUACCAAAUACAUUAUUGUAAAUUUGGGUGUAAUUAAAUAAUAAUACAUUACUUAAGCAAGGUACUUAAAUACAAUGUGAAUAGAUUUUAUUCAUAAUUUCUGUUUCUGUUCGUACAGUUUGAGUCACGCUGUGCACGGUUUUUAUCCAUUGUGAAGGAACAAAACACAAACGCUUCAAUGAACAUUUUUCCCAUCACCUCCACGGACUGAUCCCCGGGCUUACCACACGGCCACAACAAUGGAUUUCUUAAAACAUAAAAAAAAGAGUUGUAAAUGUAUUUAAAAAUGUAUGUGGAAAAUAUUUACAAAUACUAAAUACAUAAGAAAUAAUGUUUGGCCCUAAAUCACAUCAGCGUCAGUAUGAAUUUUGUGCCCCGCUUUGGGUAACACCGCGGCGCCUGUGGUGGGCCGCCGCGCUCUCCUGUGUCGCGGCUCUGGGUAGGAAUUCUUAGGUAAGCCGUCGAGGAUGAGUACGAGUCGUUUCAGUGUCGGAGAGGCGCAGGGCGACACAACUGGGCAACAUUUAUUUAUAUUGUGGCUGGGGAAGGAAGGAGCAGAGGAGGAGGAGGAGGAGGAGGAGGAGGAGGAGGAGGGAAGGAAAGGAGAGUUGGGAGUUGAUGUAUUUUCUAUUGGUAGUUUGUGGUUAGGUUACACACACACACACACACACACACACACACACACACACACACACACAAACAUUCACAAUUAAAAAAAACAAACAAUAAAACAAGAAAAUAACAACACAUGAUAGCAUAACAAAAAAAUAGUUAGAAAAUAUGAACAAAUUACAUAAGAAAACACACUCACACACACACACACACACGCACACACACACCCGCGCCGCCCUUCCUCCCCCGGCCGCCUCCAUUGUGCUAGAGUUAGGAGUGGACAAAGUACCUGGAGAAUUAACAGUUCUAAGGUUUGUAAAAAAAUUCUUAUCCUAAAAAUUACCCACAAAAAAAAGAUUAAUUACUGAAGCGUACGUAUUUUAGGCGCAGACGUCCGCAUCUGGCCUGACAUGAACCAGCAAACACUGCCAUGAUGUAGAGUGUUAACCUGUAAUGUUACGUAUCAGAGGCGAGGUGGGGAGCGUCGCGCGGCAUGCCUCACCGUACCCGGGUCUGUGUGUACCUCUGGCAGGGUGAGUGUCUUCAGUGGUGGCGUACCGGGCUUAUGUUUCUCUCCUUUGUCGCAAGGCUUUGGUAUAAACUGCCAUCAGAACUUAACCCGGUAGCAUCGCGGAUCAUGUUUUGCGACUGGUACGGAUUUGGCUUUCCCUGGUAGCCUGGUAAUGUAUACUCCCAGGUCUUUCUCUGGUUCUAUGAUGGAUAGCGGAUGUGGUAUUGGUGUGCUGGGUAUCCCUUCACUGGUAGCCUGGUAACACACACUCCCAGGUCUUUCUCUGCCUCUGUGGUGGAUAGUGGAGUGUUUCCCAUGUGGUAUUGGUGUGCUGAAUAUCCCUUCACUGGUAGUCUGGUAACAUACACUCCCAGGUCUUUCUCUGCCUCUGUGAUGGAUAGUGGAGUGUUUCCCAUGUGGUAUUGGUGUGCUGGAUAUCCCUUCACUGGUAGCCUGGUAACAUACACUCCCAUGUCUUUCUCUGCCUCUGUGGUGGAUAGUGGAGUGUUUCCCAUGUGGUAUUGGUGUGCUGGAUAUCCCUUCACUGGUAGCCUGGUAACAUACACUCCCAGGUCUUUCUCUGCCUCUGUGGUGGAUAGUGGAGUGUUUCCCAUGUGGUUUGGUGUGCUGGAUAUUCUCUCCCAAGCUGCAGGAUUUUACGUUUUUCCUCAUUGAAUUGUAGCAGCCACUUUUUGUUCCAUUCCUGUAGCUUGGUGAGGUCUUCUUGUGGGAAAUCUUCUGUCAAGGGGUUAAGGGUCCCUCUAAGUGAGAAAAAUGAGGAAAAAUCACCCCUCACGCAAACCAUUCAUAAUAUAUAUCAAAGCAUUUGUGAUCAGAUUAUGUAUCAUCUUUUUUGGGGGGUUUAUAUCAUGGCACAAAUUUGGCCCGUCGCUGCUACACGGUAAAGCCACAAAUUUGGCCCAUCACUGCUACACGGUAAAGCCACAAAUUUGGCCCGUCACUGCUACACGGUAAAGCCACAAAUUUGGCCCGUCGCUGCUACACGGUAAAGCCACAAAUUUGGCCCGUCGCUGCUACACGGUAAAGCCACAAAUUUGGCCCGUCGCUGCUACCGGGUUAAGAGAAGAGAACUUAGAUAUGGGAAAGUACACACACAUAAGCCCUGGGUUGAGGAAUCAUGUUCUGUAGUAUCUCGGGAUUUCAUAUGCAUUUAUAAAACUAGUUAUAUAUUUAUACUUAGUAAGGAGAGGAGAGGAAUAAAUUCAUUUGUAUCAUAAGACAAAGGAGAGUUAUGUAUUGGGUCCACACAACCCUCGGGGACGCCCACGCUGCCAGGACACAACGCAGAGGAGGUGCCGUGGGGUGUGUCAGAGCCGCGCGGCCCCACGCUACCGUACCAGAGUGUCAGCCUAACCUAACACGUCCGGGCCUGGCGGUACAGACAGAGAUCGUAGGGUUGUUCGGCCUCGGUCAUUCUUCAUUGGGGAGUUGCGACAUUGGGUUUGUCGUUCGUUCGUUGUGUGAGGAAGCGAAAGUCCUAAUGUAUUGCAACGAGGUGUUUUUUUUUUCUUGUUUGUUGUUGUUUUUAUCCUUUUUUUUUAAGUGACAAAUUCUCCGUUAGAUGAAGUGUUCGCGCUUUUUUUUGGGAUGUUACGAGAAUGUUCCGUAAUACUCGUGUCUGUUGUACGUGUGUGUGUGUGUGUGUGUGUGUGUGUGCGUCAAGGUGUGUUAAUCCCUCUAUGCCUUACCUAACAUAACCUUUACCCACGCAAUCACUUACAGACCAUUUUUUUCCUUAUCUUUUAUUGUUAUUUUUGAGCCGUCUCUUUUCCUUUAUUUUCCUAUUGUUUUAUUUUUCUUUCCUUACCUUACCUUACCUUACCUUACCUUACCUUACCUUACCUUACCUUACCUUACCUUCCCUUCCUUUCCCUUCCCUUCCCUUCCCUUCCCUUCCCUUCCCUUCCUUUCCCUUCCUUUCCCUUCCCUUCCCUUCCCUUCCUUUCCCUUCCCUUCCUUUCCCUUCCCUUCCUUUCCCUUCCCUUCCCUUUCCCUUCCCUUCCCUUCCCUUUCCUUUCCUUUCCUUCCCUUCCUUUCCCUUCCCCUUUGCUGUGGUUUCAUGUAUAUUGAAAAUUUUUAUUAUUAUUAUUAUUAUUAUUAUUAUUAUUAUUAUUAUUAUUAUUAUUAGUUUAGUGUUGGUCCCAGCAUCCUCCCUUCUUUCUUUUCCUUCAUUUUCUUAUUUCUUUCUUCUUUUCUUUCCUCCUCCUCCUUCUUUCCUCCUUCCAUAAGAAUUUGCUCUCCUUUUCCUCUCUUCCUCCUCUUCCUCUUUCUCUUAUAUUUCUUCUCUAUUAUUUUCUUCUUUAUUUUUUGUCUUUUUCUUCUUUUUAUUUUACAUGCAAGUUGAUAUUUUGCCCUCCUCCUCCUCCUCCUCCUCUUCUUCCUCCUCCUCCUCCUCCUCCUCCUCCUCCUCUUCAUAUCUUCCUUUUUUAUAGUUUUCAUCUUGUUUUUUUAUAUCUUUUUCCUUUUUUUUAUAUUCCAUGCAAGUUGAUAUUUUCUCCUCCUUCUCUUCCUCCUCCUCCUCCUCCUCCUCCUCCCGAAUGAAGUGUGGCAUCAAGACAGUUUAGGCCCCCCCCUCCCCUCCCCCCCCCCUGCUUCGUGUGCUCUGAUACUCGAUUUUGUAUAAUUUUUGCUGUUUAUAAGGAAAUGGAAACUCCCUUUUGUAAUAAACUUGGUGAAAUCCA